GUUUUCCCAACACUAAAUAAUAUAUAAAAAUAUCUAUUAAAAAACAAAAUUAUUAUUUUAUAAAAUUUAUUGUAUAAAUAAAAAGGUUUUUAAUCGCUUCAUUUUUUAGACUUAGCUAUUGAUCUAGUUCAAUUUUUAUUAAUUGAAUCACUAGUUCAACGUAAGUUAUGAUCACUGAUUUUUUUUAUUAUUUACUUUUUUAUUCGAUUCAAUUCAUAAUUCAACUCAUUUUAAUGGGUGCAUGAUUAACAACAAUGCUAUAAAGUAUAAAUUUAAUUAGAAUGAAUGAAGAUACCUAUAGAAAGCACUUGCUUGUGUGAAUUAUUAAUUAUAUUUGGAAUUUCUUUCUUUGAAGCCAAGUCUAAAUUAUUGGUGGGCGGCCUGCUCCAUUAUUUUUGUAAGCAUAUAUGUCCUACUAUUCUUAGCCAUUCCAAUGAAUCAAGGCCAACUUACACAGUGUUUAGAAGGUAGGAAGAAAGGAUAAUAAUGAAAGGAA
rnacentral:misc_RNA from 1 species